rnacentral:rRNA from 1 species
UACGGAGGGGCUAGCGUUGUUCGGAAUUACUGGGCGUAAAGCGCGCGUAGGCGGCUUUGUAAGUUAGAGGUGAAAGCCCGGGGCUCAACCCGGAACUGCCUUUAAGACUGCAUCGCUUGAAUCCAGGAGAGGUGAGUGGAAUUCCGAGUGUAGAGGUGAAAUUCGUAGAUAUUCGGGAGGAACACCAGUGGCGAAGGCGGCUCACUGGUCCGGUACUGACGCGUGA